ensembl:snRNA U6 U6 spliceosomal RNA
GUGCUUGCUUCGGCAGCACAUAUGCUAAAUUUGGAAUGAUACAGAGAAGAUAAACCUGGCCCCUGCGCAAGGAUGACACAUGAAAUACACUGAAUCUAUAAAAAUCAAU